CCUUCGAUAGCUCAGUUGGUAGAGCGGUGGACUGUAGAGGUAUAUAGAGCUCCAUUCAGAAGAAAUCCAUAGGUCGCUGGUUCAAAUCCGGCUCGAAGGA
rnacentral:tRNA from 1 species